rnacentral:lncRNA from 1 species
UGCACGUCAAUUGGUUAGAUCGUCUUCAACUCUUGACUCGAUCUUGAGCACCCUUGGUCCAAUUGCGAUCAACUCCAUGAUCCAUCUCCAAUCAACCCUUGACUCGAUCCGCGCAAAUCGUGCUUAUAGAGGCAUGCACCGAUCAACCAUUGACAUGCAAACACAUCACAGAUUACAUCCCAGAUAACUUUAAAAAUAAAUAAAAUUACAUAAUA